GAUGAACGUUGGCGGUGUGCCUAAUACAUGCAAGUCGAACGGAGUUAAUAGCAAUAUUGACUUAGUGGCGAACGGGUGAGUAACGCGUUGGUGAUCUGCCUCAAAGUGUGGAAUAACGUUCCGAAAGGAACGCUAAUACCGCAUGUGCUCUCGAUUUUUAGAAAGUUGAGAGUAAAGGAUUUAUUCGCUUUGAGAGGAGCCUGCGUCCCAUCAGCUAGUUGGUAGGGUAAAAGCCUACCAAGGCUAUGACGGGUAGGGGACCUGAGAGGGUCGGCCCCCCACAAUGGAACUGAAACACGGUCCAUACACCUACGGGUGGCAGCAGUAGGGAAUAUUAGAAAUGGACGAAAGUCUGAUCUAGCGACACCGCGUGUGCGAUGAAGGCCUUCGGGUUGUAAAGCACUUUUUGGAAGGAAUAGGAAGGAAGGUACUUCCAGAAUAAGUCUCGGCUAACUACGUG
rnacentral:rRNA from 1 species